UGUUUGUGAGUUUGUCUAUGGCAACUUUUCAUGCGAGCAUUUUGAUUUGUUAGGAUGAGCAUAUUGAUAUGGAUUGUAUGGUUGUUUUCUUUGAUGAUAUGAAAAUGUGUUGAAACCCAUAUGUGUUUGAGGAUGACGAAUGUGCAAAUUGAUCAUUUUCGUUGAAAGCCACUCAUAUAGUGAGGAUUGAGCCUUUAGAGCAAUAACUUGAAUGCUCCUUGCUUGUUCUUUGAUGAGUGUUAUGCAUGCUUGACUUCUUGAUAUUCGGUUUGCCA
rnacentral:lncRNA from 1 species